rnacentral:lncRNA from 1 species
CAGGAGGCAAGUGAGCUCAUUAUCUAGUAGUGGUGAGGAGGAGGAGGUGAGGAGUAGAUGUAAGCCGGUGGAGUGUGAACGGGAGGAGUAGGAGGCUUGUAAGGCUUCGUUGGUGGUGGUGGUGGUGGUGGUGGUGACUUGUAGUGGUAUGGAAUGUGGGGUGGAGAGUAGACUGGAGGAGGAGGAGAAGGCGGUGGUGGAGACUUGUAGUGGUAAGGCGGUGACUUGGGAGGGUAGUGGGGGUGCUUAGGUGGUGAGUACACUGGUGGUGUUGGGGAUGGUGGUGGCUUAGGAGGGUAAUGGGGGUGCUUGGGUGGUGAGUACUUGGGUGGUGUUGGAGAGGGUGGUGACUUGGGAGGGUAGUGAGGAUGCUUGGGUGGUGAGUACACUGGUGGUGUUGGUGAGGGUGGUGACUUGGGAGGGUAAUGAGGGUGCUUGGGUGGUGAGUAGACCGGUGUCUUAGGUGGUGACUUGGGGGGGUAGUAGGGGUGGUGAGGUGGUGAGUAGACUGGCGUUGGUGGUGGAGGAGACUUGUAGUGGUAUGGCUUCUUUGGUGGUGGUGGUGAGUGAUGUGGGUGGUAGGGCUUCUUGUGUGGUGGCGGGGGUGGUGGAGACUUGUAGUGGUAAGGCUUCUUCGGUGGUGGUGGAGGUGGUGGAGACUUGUAGUGGUAUGGCUUCUUUGGUGGUGGUGGUGAGUGGUGUGGAUGGUAGGGCUUCUUGUGUGGUGGGGGUGGUGGAGGAGACUUGUAAUGGUAAGGGACCUUCGGUGGUGGCGGUGAUGGAGGAGGAGGAGACUUGUAGUGGUAAGGCACCUUAGGUGGUGGUGGUGAUGGAGGAGGAGGAGACUUGUAGUGGUAUGGCACCUUUGGUGGUGGUGGUGACGGAGGUGGUGGAGAUUUGUAGUGGUAGACAGGUGUCUUUGGUGGCGGGUACACCGGAGGCUUGGGAGGUGACUUGGGAGGGUAAUGUGGGUGCUUAGGAGGAGAGUACACCGGAGGCUUAGGUGGUGACUUUGGUGGGUAAUGGGGAUGCUUAGGCGGCGAGUACACCGGUGGUGUGGGUGAGGGUGGUGACUUUGGUGGGUAAUGAGGAUGCUUUGGUGGAGAGUACACCGGAGGCUUAGGCGGUGACUUGGGAGGAUAGUAAGGAUGAUGGGGUGGUGCGUAGUGCACUGGUGGCGGAGGCGGCGGUGGUGACUUGUAGUGGUAAGGAGGAGAAGCAGGUGGUGGAGGAGAGGAGUAAGGGUAGUUUGCGGAGGUUUGCGAGGCAAAAGCGACUAAUGCCACUAGAAGACUGAAAACUAGAGAGGUCCCCAUUUUCCCCAUCCUUGUGGGUUUAAGAGGAGAUGGAUUUUGGUUUUCUGCUCUAUAUGCGAAGCCUCUACGCCCUUUAUAUAGCUUUGGUGUUUACCCAUCUAAUCAAACUAAGGGUAAAAUAUAGUAAUCAUCAUCAUGUGCCAAAUUUACAUGCCCAAUUAUCAGUCCUCUUUGGUGUAAAACAAGAUUAGCUAGUGUUAAAAAAACACAAAUAGGGGGCCAGCAAGUAUUGACUGGAAAUAUUUUGUUGAUUGAAUUUGAAGAAUAAAACCUAGCUAACCUAUAUAUUAUACAGUGCCAUCUAUCAAAACGAGCAAUUUUUCCAUAGCUUAGUUAAUUAGUUGGUAUAUUUAUUCUCUGGUUUUCAUGAAUGAUUGAGAAAGAGAGAACAAGCUUCGAAAACGUGUGUGGGUUUUGCCCAACUUUUUCUGAUUCUCGCUGUGCCGAGGACCAGGCGGCUUUGCUCUAUCUGGUCUGUCACAGUCACAUUUUGCAUGGCAUUACUCGAAUUUUUUUCUCUGAUUAAUGUUUUGGGGUGGAUUGAAGUGCCUAUUUGCCUUAAUCAAACGUGGUUUAUCACUAAUUAAUCACUUACAAAGACGAAUUAGGUGUCAUAAUUGCAAUGAAUGAUAACUAGAUAUUGUCUCUACUCUUAACUUGUUGUUCCAAACUAGUAGUAUAAACCAAUUAAGUAGAAUUUAUCGUUUAGACCAUUAACAAAGACUAGCUAGCUAUAAGAUCAAAACAAUUCUUUGAAAGGAGAAAAAUGUUAAUUAAACUAGAGUUGA